AUCACUGCUAUCCUUAAUAUGCUAUUACACUGCAAUUGUUUUCUAUAUUACUUAAAUGAAAAUAAAAAACCUGCCUCUUACAGCUUUACUAUCGAUACAUCCUUUUCCUGUGAUAUUAUUUGAUGCCUAAUAAGUCCUUUGCAAGUGAAAGUUAAAAAUAUACUUGGUAAGUUGUCAAAAUGGAGCAUUUAGUUGCAAAACGGAGGAGAAAAAGAGGUUGUUGUGAAAAUAAUCCAGAAGUAUCAUUAAACUGAACAAUUUGAAUGUUUUUAGUGUCUUUUCAUGAUUCUAAUGGUUUCCUUGACAUUACGAAAGUAGUUGUUAGGGUAAAUUUUAUUGGUGAAUUAUUGAUUUUGAAGUUUAUGCAAUUGUGCUUGUUUCCCCUUAAGAACUCAAAGAGUAAUCUAGUUUGGGAAAGGACAGAUAAUUCUAGCACGUCGUGUGCAUAAUCCAAAAUAGUGCUAACUGGAGUUACUUUCCCAUCAUUGAGACGAACAAACAAGUCAAGAUUCACCUGUUUCACUAGUAAUGUGAAAUAUAGGUCAUGAUAAGAGUUGUAAAAGAAUAUUGCUGUCUGAAAGUGGGGCUGUUUGAAGUAUUCUUGCUGUAAGAAGAUGAUAUUGGUGGUUGAAUCAGAUAGCAUGUUUUUGAUAAAGACAAAGAAGGUAAAUGUUAUUAAACUUUUCCAAAGGUAUUAAAUUAUAACUAGGGAAUUCCUGAUUGAUCUUCUCAUUGUUUAUUGUCAUAGGGGAUGUAUGGGUUUGAUUGUUCUAUAUUUAAUUUCCCCGGUUUCUACUGCAUAAAUAUGGUGUUGCUGGCUGCUUGAUUUUACAUGUUAUCAUCUUGUUGGCUGCUUGAUUACGG
rnacentral:misc_RNA from 1 species